UACGUAGGCAGCAAGCGUUGUUCGGAGUUACUGGGCGUAAAGGGUGUGUAGGCGGUUGUUUAAGUUUGGUGUGAAAUCUCCCGGCUCAACUGGGAGGGUGCGCCGAAAACUGCGAGGCUGGAGUGUGGGAAAGGUAGGCGGAAUUCCUGGUGUAGCGGUGAAAUGCGUAGAUAUCAGGAGGAACACCGGCGGUGUAGACGGCUUACUAGACCAUGACUGACGCUGAGGCACGAAAGCGUGGGUAGCAAACAGG
rnacentral:rRNA from 1 species